GCCAGGAGAUCAAGAGAAGAAGGGGAAACCCUUUUUUACUUCUAAAAGUCAGCAAUUAAAGGAAGAAAUUGAAGCUAAUCACCUGCAUGUUCACCCCAACCUAACCAUCUUAGCAUUCUUAACAUAAGGGAUUAAAGAAGAAAGCUCAAGUCAUUCCGGAACGCAAACAAACCACAACAAAGAUGAGAAUGGUCGAACUCUUGGCAUGAUAAAACUAGUAGAGUUGGUGAAAAGAUGCACAUGAACGGAAGCUCAUCACAUGGAUGGACGAGGUCAAUCUAGUUUUUGACACGCGCUCCCGAAGGGGGUGGGCUGAAUCGGGACACGAAUCGUUGUUCAUGUAAAUAAUAAGGUUAGUAAAGUAUUUGACUUAUGAAUGUUAAAUAGAAAGUUACGGACGGAAUAAUGUUUCCAUACGAAUAAAUGUCAACACAAGUAUGACGUGGUUGGAAGGUUUGACCUUUAGAGGUCAAGAAAAGAACGAAAUUCUUAGUUCAAACUCUAUGUCAUUAAUCAAGGCGUAGGCGUGCAUAGCAAGUAAUAAAAAAAGAGAGAAAUGAACGGACAAAUCAUGGUGACCUGAAUGAAAUUAUACGGAGAUUAACCUAGGAAUGUACUUUAUAUCAUGUAACAGUAACAAACCUAAAACAACGUUAAACUCUUGAGACAAGUACGAAUGACUAAGAAGGAAAUAAUGGUUGGGUUGUGAUAACUAUAUCAAUGAUGAAAUGUUUAAGAGAAGUUAGGAUGUGAGAUUGUAUGAAAGACUUGACAUAUAUGAAUGAAAUAUGAUAAUGAUAUAAUUAGUAGUAAACGAACUUGAAGAAUGUGCUAUAAAUGGAACUCGUACAAGAAUUCGGGUUAAAUGUAUGUUUGGAAAGGAUUAAGCGUUAGGGGGUUGUACAUUGUACUUGAAUGAGUGAUACUCGUCAUGUAUUAUAAUAAUUACUUAAUUUGCAAUUAAGAAGUGAAUAUGUGCUAAAAGUAAAACAGAUGAAUUUGCUAGUAAAUGAUAAAUGUUAUGAUUAUG